AGUGAACGCUGGCGGCAGGCUUAACACAUGCAAGUCGAGCGAGCGGCGGACGGGUGAGUAAUGUAUGGGAAACUGCCUGAUGGAGGGGGAUAACUACUGGAAACGGUCGCUAAUACCGCAUACCAUCAGAUGUGCCCAUAUGGGAUUAGCUAGGAGGUGAGGUAAUGGCUCACCUAGGCGACGAGCCCUAGCUGGUCUGAGAGGGUGAACAGCCACACUGGAACUGAGACACGGUCCAGACUCCUACGGGAGGCGGCAGUGGGGAAUAUUGCACAAUGGGCGCAAGCCUGAUGCAGCCAUGCCGCGUAUGUGAAGAAGGCCUUCGGGUUGUAAAGUACUUUCAGUGAGGAGGCGUUACCCGCAGAAGAAGCACCGGCUAACUCCGUGCCAGCAGCCGCGGUAAUUC
rnacentral:rRNA from 1 species